UACCAAUACUUAUAGUUUGGCAUAAAUCUACUCCUAUAUAAAUAGACAAUUAUUGUAUCUCUAUCAAGUAUUUUUCUAUUGACACAUCUCUUAAAAAGACAAUGAGCCCAUCCUUAAACUAAGUGCCGCAUUCUCAAAAGCAUAAUCAUAGAAGUACUUGACACCCUCCUUAUAUUCAACAAAAAUUAAUCUGUCGACUAUUCGACAGUCUAUCCAACU
rnacentral:lncRNA from 1 species